rnacentral:rRNA from 1 species
CAGUCGCCGCGGGAAUACAGAGGGUGCAAGCGUUAAUCGGAAUUACUGGGCGUAAAGCGCGCGUAGGUGGUUUGUUAAGUUGGAUGUGAAAUCCCCGGGCUCAACCUGGGAACUGCAUCCAGAACUGGCAAGCUAGAGUAUGGUAGAGGGUGGUGGAAUUUCCUGUGUAGCGGUGAAAUGCGUAGAUAUAGGAAGGAACACCAGUGGCGAAGGCGACCACCUGGACUGAUACUGACACUGAGGUGCGAAAGCGUGGGGAGCAAACAGGAUUAGAUACCCCGGUAGUCCCUGUCUCUUAUAA